GGAAUAAACAAGGAACAGAGGACUAGAAAAAGCUUCUUGAACCAGAAUCUGCCCCUCUCAACUACACGUACACACAAUGUGUUACAAACUUUUUCUAAACUGACAUCCUCCACCUUCAGAUAACUGAGGAUGACAAGCCUCCCCCCAAGAGCUGGAGGACAGACAAGAAUGCAUUUAUGUGAAUUUGUACACAGGAAAGAAAGGGAAAGAGGACAACAACUGAUCCCAGGAAAGAGUAUGGAGCCACAAAUGAGAACCCAAUCAGCAGGGUCUGCAUUACUGUCUAAGGAGAUUUUUAAA